GCAGGGCGGCGGCUACCAUGCAGUCGAGCGGAACGAUGGAAGCUUGCUUCCAGGCGUCGAGCGGCGGACGGGUGAGUAAUGCAUAGGAAUCUGCCCGAUAGUGGGGGAUAACCUGGGGAAACCCAGGCUAAUACCGCAUACGUCCUACGGGAGAAAGCAGGGGAUCUUCGGACCUUGCGCUAUCGGAUGAGCCUAUGUCGGAUUAGCUAGUUGGUGAGGUAACGGCUCACCAAGGCCGCGAUCCGUAGCUGGUCUGAGAGGAUGAUCAGCCACAUCGGGACUGAGACACGGCCCGAACUCCUACGGGAGGCAGCAGUGGGGAAUAUUGGACAAUGGGCGAAAGCCUGAUCCAGCCAUGCCGCGUGUGUGAAGAAGGCUUUCGGGUUGUAAAGCACUUUCAGUGGGGAAGAAAUCCUCGGGGCCAAUACCCUCGAGGGAGGACAUCACCCACAGAAGAAGCACCGGCUAACUCCGUGCCAGCAGCCGCGGUAAUACGGAGGGUGCGAGCGUUAAUCGGAAUUACUGGGCGUAAAGCGCGCGUAGGCGGCGUGAUAAGCCGGUUGUGAAAGCCCCGGGCUCAACCUGGGAACGGCAUCCGGAACUGUCAGGCUAGAGUGCAGGAGAGGAAGGUAGAAUUCCCGGUGUAGCGGUGAAAUGCGUAGAGAUCGGGAGGAAUACCAGUGGCGAAGGCGGCCUUCUGGACUGACACUGACGCUGAGGUGCGAAAGCGUGGGUAGCAAACAGGAUUAGAUACCCUGGUAGUCCACGCCGUAAACGAUGUCGACUAGCCGUUGGGGUCCUUGUGACCUUUGUGGCGCAGUUAACGCGAUAAGUCGACCGCCUGGGGAGUACGGCCGCAAGGUUAAAACUCAAAUGAAUUGACGGGGGCCCGCACAAGCGGUGGAGCAUGUGGUUUAAUUCGAUGCAACGCGAAGAACCUUACCUACUCUUGACAUCGUGCGAACUUUCCAGAGAUGGAUUGGUGCCUUCGGGAACGCACAGACAGGUGCUGCAUGGCCGUCGUCAGCUCGUGUUGUGAAAUGUUGGGUUAAGUCCCGUAACGAGCGCAACCCUUGUCCCUAUUUGCCAGCGAUUCGGUCGGGAACUCUAGGGAGACUGCCGGUGACAAACCGGAGGAAGGUGGGGACGACGUCAGGUCAUCAUGGCCCUUACGAGUAGGGCUACACACGUGCUACAAUGGCCGGUACAAAGGGUUGCGAAGCCGCGAGGUGGAGCUAAUCCCGAAAAGCCGGUCUCAGUCCGGAUCGGAGUCUGCAACUCGACUCCGUGAAGUCGGAAUCGCUAGUAAUCGUGAAUCAGAAUGUCACGGUGAAUACGUUCCCGGGCCUUGUACACACCGCCCGUCACACCAUGGGAGUGGACUGCACCAGAAGUGGUUAGCCUAACUUCGGAGGGCGAUCACCACGGUGUCCGGC
rnacentral:rRNA from 1 species